UAGGGAAUCUUCCGCAAUGGACGCAAGUCUGACGGAGCAACGCCGCGCGAGUGAAGAAGGAUUUCGGUUCGUAAAACUCUGUUGUUAGAGAAGAACAGCGCAUAGAGUAACUGUUAUGCGUGUGACGGUAUCUAACCAGAAAGCCACGGCCAACUACGUGCCAGCAGCCGCGGUAAUACGUAGGUGGCAAGCGUUUUCUGGACUUAUUGGGCGUAAAGCGAGCGCAGGCGGUCAAUUAAGUCUGAUGUGAAAGCCCCCGGCUCAACCGGGGAGGGUCAUUGGAAACUGGUUUACUUGAGUGCAGAGGAGGAGAGUGGAAUUCCAUGUGUAGCGGUGAAAUGCGUAGAUAUAUGGAGGAACACCAGUGGCGAAGGCGACUCUCUGGUCUGUAACUAACGCUGAGGCUCGAAAGCGUGGGUAGCAAACAGG
rnacentral:rRNA from 1 species